rnacentral:rRNA from 1 species
AUGAACCGCACGGAGCGCAAGGCUGCGAGGGAGAACCGAGGCGAGGAGAAGUGGACGGGGAAGCGCCGCCUGCUGCCGGAGGCGAACGAGGAGAAGCGCCGCAAGCGGGUGGCCAGGCCGGAGGAGGAGGAACCAGUGGACCUGAUGGCCUUAGUGGCGGCGCAGUACCGCGAGAGAUGGGAGUGGAGGUACCGUCGUGGUCGCGAAUCCUACGAGGACGCAACGUCUAUACCACCGAUGCGAUACACCGACGAGCCGCCGCCGCCCAUUAACCGUGUCGGCUGCGCUGACGCUGUGGUCGUCUUCUCGGUGAAGGUGACGGAACUAAGCGAUGGCCUGGAAUGGCCGCUGGAUGUGUACGGCGUCGUCGCCGUCCGGGAUUCAGCGGACCACAACCGCAACCUCCUCUUCAACCGCACCAGAGACAAUUGCCAGACACUCACCGCAGAGGAUGCCUCUCUGUUGUUGACCGGUCCUAGCCGCGCCAUCGUGAAAGUUAGGGUUGUUGACUAUGAUGUUGAACUAAAAGUGAAGGGCGAAUCCCCGUCUCAAGAUAAGCUCUUGAGCUUUUUUGUCGACAAGAACUACUACACUCCUGGUGAACAUCGCCAAGGAGUUCGCUGCUACACAUGCUCUUCUCAGCUGAGCACGGUGGUGUUGACGGUCGGACACCUUGAACAAACGGUGGAGGCUACCAUGACAAUCCGAGUCACCGAGGGAUCCUGGCCCACACGAUAUCAUGGACGUUUCGCUGUGCGUAUCUCCAACCUUGAUGACAGGGACAUGGUAUUGCUCGAUUCUCGGGACGGAGCGAUAACUGUUAUGAGCAAUGGCACGAUCGAGCUCACGCGUCGUGUUGUUUCGGUGGAAGAAAACGGAGAGCUAAGGAUUUUGGUGGACGCAUGGCUUGGUGAUGGUGAUCUCGAGGCUGGUUCGGUUGCCAAUGGUGAAGUGUUGUUUGCCCCUAGAAGGUCAGGUAGAAGCAAGGGUGUGUGUGAUGUUGGGUUCUCUAGGAUAGAAGUUACUGUCGCCUGGUCCCUUGUUGUGAACCGGUGA